GUGACCAAAACCUCCUUGUCGAAGCCUGAUCUCGUCACAUCUCAGAAGUGAAGUGGGAGUGGGCCUAGUUAAUAACUGGAUGGGAAACCACUGGGAAUUCCAGGUGCCACA
rnacentral:rRNA from 1 species